GAAGAGACAGCGCCGCCGGCCGUGGGGAGCGGACGCAGUGAUUUGCUCCCCCUCGUGCAGCAACCCCCACACCCAGCACCAGGCCCCCAGAACUCUCCUUCCAGCUGAACUCCCUGGGAACAAGUCAGUUGGGCUGAUCACUGAACUCACAUUUCUGGACCUGAGGAGCCUGUUCCUCUCACGCCCUCACCUGGCUGAGCCGCAGUAGUUCUUCAGUGGCAAGCUUUAUGUCCUGACCCAGCUAAAGCUGCCAGUUGAAGAACUGUUGCCCUCUGCCCCUGGCUUCGAGGAGGAGGAGGAGCUGCUUUCCCCAUCAUCUGGAAGGUGGUAUGUGAUCCCCAGCUCAGGCCUGUGCAGACAGGAAAUUCUCCCCUGCAGCAAGUAGGGGAGGUGGGUUGUGGGAUGUGACCUCCUUCCAGAUAUCAGGCAGUGAGUGUAAACCUGCCACCUCCAGCCCUGAUCCAUUCUCACCUAGCGGCUACAGGAAGCUGUGUCUGUUCGAUUUGGUGGGAGGAGAUGUGCAGGGAGCUGUAUCUUGUCCUCCGCUUGUGAAAAACUCAAGGAUGUGGAGAAGAGUAGACCGUGGAACCCUGCUCUUCUGCAGCCAAGC
ensembl:lncRNA MIR22HG MIR22 host gene